GGUGUGAAAAAAGCACAGUGCAAAUAUUGUCAUAAAAGACUCUCUGCCGUGGAGGGUAAUGGAACUUCUCAUUUGAAUAGUCAUUUGCUUAGAUGUCCAGCAAAAAAUGAAGAUGGAGAAGUUCUUCCUGGGCUGCUAGAAACUAAAAAAAGAAGAUUGGAUGUUGGAAGUUCAAGCUAUGAUCCAGAGAAUAGCAGAAGAGAACUUGGUUAUAUGAUUGCCCUUCAUGAGUUCCCUCUUUCUA
rnacentral:lncRNA from 1 species